rnacentral:rRNA from 1 species
GACGAACCGUGCGAACGUUGUUCGGAUUCACUGGGCUUAAAGCGCGCGUAGGCGGGGUAGUAAGUCGGGAGUGAAAUCCUUCAGCUCAACUGGAGAACGGCCUUCGAUACUGCAUGCCUCGAGGGCGGUAGGGGCAGGUGGAACUUACGGUGUAGCGGUGAAAUGCGUAGAUAUAGUAAGGAACGCCGGUGGCGAAAGCGGCCUGCUGGAUCUCUUCUGACGCUGAGGCGCGAAAGCCAGGGGAGCAAACGGG